rnacentral:lncRNA from 1 species
GUGACACGGGGUGUCAGCGGUGACACCGUGGGGGUGGCGGGGACGCGGUGACGGUGACACCCUGGUGGUGACAGUGAUGGUGACACAACAGUGACCGUGACCCCGGGUGACCCCUGGGUGACCCCUGGGUGACCCCAAUGACCUCUGGGUGACCCCUAGAUGACCUCUGGGUAACCCCAAUGACCCCUGAGUGACCCCAGUGACCCCUGAGUGACCCCAAUGACCUCUGGGUGACCCUUGACUGACCCCAAUGACCCUUGAAUGACCCCUGAGUGACCCCAGUGACCCCUGGGUGACCCCAAUGACCCCUGAGUGACCCCAAUGAGUGACCCCAAUGACCCCCGGGUGACCCCUGUAUAACCCCCGGCUGUUCCCCGGCUGUUCCCCCUCCCCCCGCUGCCCAGGUGCUGUUGGCCCUGCCCGGGGCGGCUGUUCCCGUGUCCCUCCCCCCGCGGCCGCUGCCGGGAGAGCUGCGAGUGCGCCUGAGACCGCCCCAGGAACUGGUGCUGGAAUGGGAACCCCUGGAGGGGAACUGGGAACUCCCCGAGGAGACGGAGCCGCCCGACCCCGGCUUUGAGCCCGACUGGGCCGUGCUGAGCCCCCCCCGGCCCCGCCCCGGCCGGGCCGGGGGUUUCUCGCUGGCGCUGCGGGAGCUGCGGGGGCUGCGCCGGGGCCCCCCCGCCCUGAGCCCCCCGACUUUGGAGCUGCUGCCCCGGGGGGGGCCCCGACCCCCCCCCCUGCACCUCCCCCGGGGGGGAAUCCGGAAACUGCGGCGACUUUUGGGGUCACACCUGCGCCCGGACCCCCGGGACCGGCGGCUGCUGCUCGUGGUGACCCCCGAGGACCCCCCCGAGCCCCCCCCAGGGCCCGGCCUGGUCACCGUGAGCACCCCAAAAAUGGGGGGGGUCCCCAAAAUAUGGGGGGGGUCCUAAAAUGGGGGACCCCAAAAAUGGGGAGUGGGUUCCCAAAAUUUGGGGGGGGGUCCUAAAGUUUGGGCGGGGGUCCUAAAAUAUGAGGGACACCCCAAAAAUGGGGGGGGCCCUAAAAUAUGGGGGGCGGUCCUAAAGAGGGGAGGGAUCCCAAAAUUUGGGGGAUCCCCAAAAA